rnacentral:rRNA from 1 species
AUUGAACGCUGGCGGCAUGCCUUACACAAGCAAGUCGAACGGCAGCAUGGAAGAGCUUGCUCUUCUGAUGGCGAGUGGCGAACGGGUGAGUAAAGCAUCGGAACGUACCGUGUAAUGGGGGAUAACGUAGCGAAAGUUACGCUAAUACCGCAUACGACCUGAGGGUGAAAGCAGGGAUCGCAAGACCUUGCGUUAUACGAGCGGCCGAUGUCAGAUUAGCUAGUUGGUGAGGUAAAGGCUCACCAAGGCGACGAUCUGUAGCGGGUCUGAGAGAAUGAUCCGCCACACUGGGACUGAGACACGGCCCAGACUCCUACGGGAGGCAGCAGUGGGGAAUUUUGGACAAUGGGGGCAACCCUGAUCCAGCCAUGCCGCGUGAGUGAAGAAGGCCCUCGGGUUGUAAAGCUCUUUCGGCCGGGAAGAAAUCGCACAGGCUAAUACUCUGUGUGGAUGACGGUACCGGCAUAAGAAGCACCGGCUAACUACGUGCCAGCCGCCGCGGUAA